rnacentral:rRNA from 1 species
AGCCAACCAGCUAGCCCUAAUACUAAAUUCAACAACCAAAUAUUAAUAAACCCUAAAUCACCAUAAAACUAUAAAUAAAACAUUUUACACCCUUAGUAUAGGAGAUAGAAAAGGAAUAUACGGAGCAAUAGAAAAAGUACCGCAAGGGAAAGCUGAAAGAGAGAUGAAAAAGCCCAG